rnacentral:rRNA from 1 species
UUCCGGUUGAUCCCGCCGGAGGCUACUGCUAUUGGAAUUCGACUUAAGCCAUGCGAGUCAAGGUGUCUUCGGACGCCGGCAAACGGCUCAGUAACACGUAGGUAAUCUACCCUCAGGACUGAGAUAACCCCGGGAAACUGGGGCUAAUACCAGAUAGAUAAAAGAUACUGGAAUGUUCUUUUAUCCAAAGCUUUUGUGCCUGAGGAUGAGCCUGCGCCCGAUUAGGUAGUUGGUGGGGUAAUGGCCCACCAAGCCUGCGAUCGGUACGGGCAGUGGGAGCUGUAGCCCGGAGUUGGGGACUGAGACAAGGCCCCAGGCCCUACGGGGCGCAGCAGGCGCGAAACCUCUGCAAUGCGGGAGACCGUGACAGGGGGAUUCCAAGUGCUCAUGCAUUGCAUGGGCUGUUCUUUGGUCUAAGUAACCAGAGGAGUAAGGGCUGGGCAAGACCGGUGCCAGCCGCCGCGGUAAUACCGGCAGCUCGAGUGGUAGCCGCGAUUAUUGGGCCUAAAACGUUCGUAGCCGGAUAAGUAAGUCUUUGGUUAAAUCCUACGACUUAACCGUGGGAAAUCUAGAGAUACUGCUUGUCUUGAGACCGGGAGAGGUUGGAGGUACUCCCAGGGUAGGGGUGAAAUCCUGUAAUCCUGGGGGGACCACCUGUGGCGAAGGCGUCCAACUGGAACGGCUCUGACGGUGAGGGACGAAACCUAGGGGAGCGAGCCGGAUUAGAUACCCGGGUAGUCCUAGGCGUAAAUGAUGCGAGUUAAGUGUGGGGGCAUCUACGAGAUGGCCCUGUGCUGUAGGGUAGCCGUUAAACUCGCUGCCUGGGGAGUACGGUCGCAAGGCUGAAACUUAAAGGAAUUGGCGGGGGGAGCACCACAAGAGGUGGAGGCUGCGGUUCAAUUGGAUUCAACGCCGGG